CUUAACACAUGCAAGUCGAACGGAAAGCGCUCUUCGGAGUGACUCGAGUGGCGAACGGGUGAGUAACACGUGGGUGAUCUGCCCUGCACUUUGGGAUAAGCCUGGGAAACUGGGUCUAAUACCGAAUACACCUUGCUGGUUGCAUGACCUGGUGAGGGAAAGCUUUUGCGGUGUGGGAUGGGCCCGCGGCCUAUCAGCUUGUUGGUGGGGUGAUGGCCUACCAAGGCGACGACGGGUAGCCGGCCUGAGAGGGUGACCGGCCACACUGGGACUGAGAUACGGCCCAGACUCCUACGGGAGGCAGCAGUGGGGAAUAUUGCACAAUGGGCGCAAGCCUGAUGCAGCGACGCCGCGUGAGGGAUGACGGCCUUCGGGUUGUAAACCUCUUUCAGCAUCGACGAAGCGCAAGUGACGGUAGAUGCAGAAGAAGGACCGGCCAACUACGUGCCAGCAGCCGCGGUAAUACGUAGGGUCCGAGCGUUGUCCGGAAUUACUGGGCGUAAAGAGCUCGUAGGUGGUUUGUCGCGUUGUCCGUGAAAACUCACAGCUCAACUGUGGGCCUGCCGGGCGAUACGGGCAGACUGGAGUACUGCA
rnacentral:rRNA from 1 species